CGCGUCGGCCUGGGGUGCCGCACGGCAGUGCGGCUGAGAUCAUACCCAUCGAACCUGUCUGGAUCAUGCCAGCGUAGGGAGCAGCCGGUGAGUGCAGAA
rnacentral:ncRNA from 2 species